rnacentral:rRNA from 1 species
CAGUCGCCGCGGUAAUACAGAGGGUGCAAGCGUUAAUUGGAAUUACUGGGCGUAAAGCGCGCGUAGGUGGUUUGUUAAGUUGGAUGUGAAAUCCCCGGGCUCAACCUGGGAACUGCAUCCAAAACUGGCAAGCUAGAGUAUGGUAGAGGGUGGUGGAAUUUCCUGUGUAGCGGUGAAAUGCGUAGAUAUAGGAAGGAACACCAGUGGCGAAGGCGACCACCUGGACUGAUACUGACACUGAGGUGCGAAAGCGUGGGGAGCAAACAGGAUUAGAUACCCCCGUAGUCCCUGUCUCUUAUAU